rnacentral:rRNA from 1 species
AUGCCGCGCCGGCGCCUGUGCCGCGCGGUCCUCGCCGUCGCCGGAGCGGCCUACCUCGCCUUCCUCCUCCUCUUCGAGCUCCCGUUCUCGUCCCCGUCCUCGUCGUCUUCAGCCUCAGGAGCGCUGACCACCCACCGCUCCCGCCGCCGCGAGCUCGAGGCCUCGGCCUUGGCCUUCCCCUCCUCGCGCUUCUCCCCCUCCCGACCCGCGUUCCCCGCGGCCGUGUCCCCCUCUCCGUCCUCCCCGCCGCCGCUCCCCAUCUUCUCGUCCCUCCUCCUCCUCCCCCGGUCCAACGCCAUGGCGACCCCCUUCGACGGCGCCGCGGCCGACGCCUUCUCCGCCGCAAAGCCCCAUCUUGCGCACCUCCAGACCGCCGCAUCCGCGUCCGCAUCCACCACCUCCCCGCCCCCGUCCUCCCCGAUCUGCCCGGCCUCCAUCUCGCUGCACGCGGACAAGCUCCCCGCCGACGGGGUCCGGACGGUGGAGCUGCCGUGCGGGCUGGCGGUGGGGUCGCACGUGACGGUGGUGGCGCGCCCCAGGCCCGCGCGGCCCGAGUACGACCCCAAGAUCGCCCAGCGCAAGGACGGCGGGAAGACGCCCCUCAUGGUGUCGCAGUUCAUGGUGGAGCUGGUGGGCACCAAGGUGGUGGACGGCGAGGCGCCGCCCAGGAUCCUCCACUUCAACCCCAGGAUCCGCGGGGACUACAGCGGCAAGCCGGUGAUUGAGAUGAACAGCUGCUACAGGAUGCAGUGGGCGCAGUCGCACCGCUGCGAGGGCUUCGCAUCCCGCCCCGCCGAGGAAACUGUUGAUGCUCAACUCAAGUGUGAGAAAUGGAUUCGGGAUGAUGACAACAAGUCGGAGGAGUCAAAGAUGAAGUGGUGGGUGAAACGUUUAAUUGGUAGGUCAAAGGAUGUGCACAUCAGUUGGCCAUACCCAUUCGGAGAAGGCAAGUUGUUUGUUUUGACUCUCACAGCUGGUUUGGAAGGUUACCAUGUCAAUGUUGAUGGGAGGCAUGUCACUUCAUUUCCUUACCGCACUGGUUAUACUCUUGAGGAUGCAACUGGGUUGUCUAUCAAUGGAGACAUUGAUAUUGAGUCAAUUUUUGCUAGUUCUCUACCCAGUUCACAUCCUAGUUUCUCCCCAGAGAGAUACCUUGAAAUGUCGGAGCAAUGGAGGGCCCCGCCGCUACCAACUGAACCCGUCGAGCUUUUUAUUGGCAUUCUGUCAGCAGCGAGCCAUUUUGCCGAACGUAUGGCUGUGCGCAAGUCAUGGAUGAUGUAUACAAGAAAAUCAUCUAAUGUUGUAGCUCGGUUCUUUGUGGCUCUGAACGGUAAAAUGGAGGUCAAUGCAGAGUUGAAAAGGGAGGCAGAGUUCUUCCAAGACAUCGUCAUAGUGCCUUUCAUGGAUAGUUAUGAUCUUGUAGUUUUGAAGACCAUUGCCAUUGCGGAGUAUGGGGUUCGAGUCAUCCCGGCAAAAUAUGUGAUGAAAUGUGAUGAUGAUACAUUUGUUAGAAUUGAUUCCGUACUGGACCAAGUAAAGAAAGUUAAAAGCGAUAAGAGUGUGUAUGUGGGAAGCAUCAACUACUACCAUAGACCACUGAGAUCUGGCAAGUGGGCUGUGACUUAUGAGGAAUGGCCAGAGGAGGCUUACCCAAGUUAUGCCAAUGGGCCUGGCUAUGUGAUCUCAUCGGAUAUUGCACGCUACAUCGUAUCUGAAUUUGACAAUCAGACGCUUCGACUAUUUAAGAUGGAAGAUGUCAACAUGGGGAUGUGGGUGGAGAAAUUCAACAUCACUCGUCGGCCGGUAGAGUAUCGGCAUGACGUCAGGUUCUACCAGGCCGGUUGCUUCGAUGGUUACAUCACCGCACACUAUCAGUCCCCCCAGCACAUGAUCUGCCUGUGGAGAAAGUUGCAGUCCGGUAGCACCCAUUGCUGCAACGUGCGAUGA